rnacentral:rRNA from 1 species
CGCGUAGGCGGACCUUCAAGUCGGUUGUGAAAACUUCGAGCUUAACUCGGAGCCUGCAUCCGAUACUGUCGGUCUUGAGUACAGGAGAGGAAAGUGGAAUUCCAGGUGUAGCGGUGAAAUGCGUAGAUAUCUGGAAGAACACCAGUAGCGAAGGCGGCUUUCUGGACUGAUACUGACGCUAAAGCGCGAAGGCUUGGGGAGCAAACAGGAUUAGAUACCCUGGUAGUCC